rnacentral:rRNA from 1 species
UCGGAUCAGGUAGGGAUACCCGCUGAACUUAAGCAUAUCAAANNGGGGGAAGGAAAUCNUUACCACAAUAAUGAAGGGCGGGGCUGGGACAAACCCCUAGCUGGGCACUGCUUCACGGCGGUGUGCGGUUUGGGUGGCCGGCCUGCUGAACUAUUCACCGUGUCUUUUGCGUACUCUGUUUCCUGGGCGGGCUCGCCGCCACCAGGACAACAAUAAAACUUUUUUGUAAUAGCAAUCGCGUCAGUAAACAAUGUAAUCAAUUACACUUUCACACGGAUCUCUUGGUUCUGGCAUCGAUGAAGAAAGCACNAAUGCGAUACGUAGUGUGAAAUUGCAGAAAUUCNNGAAAUCAUCAAUCGUUNAGCCAUUGCGCUUUGGNAUUCAAGGGCAUGCUGUUUNAGCGUCAUUUNNACUCAGCU